GAUGAACGCUGGCGGCGUGCCUAAUACAUGCAAGUCGAGCGAACAGACGAGGAGCUUGCUCCUCUGACGUUAGCGGCGGACGGGUGAGUAACACGUGGAUAACCUACCUAUAAGACUGGGAUAACUUCGGGAAACCGGAGCUAAUACCGGAUAAUAUAUUGAACCGCAUGGUUCAAUAGUGAAAGACGGUUUUGCUGUCACUUAUAGAUGGAUCCGCGCCGCAUUAGCUAGUUGGUAAGGUAACGGCUUACCAAGGCAACGAUGCGUAGCCGACCUGAGAGGGUGAACGGCAAAACUGGAACUGAGACAGGGUCGAGACACCUACGGGAGGCAGCAGUGGGGAAUAUUGCACAAUGGGCGAAAGCCUGAUCCAGCAAUGCCGAGUGAGUGAAGAAGGUCUUCGGAUCGUAAAACACUUUAAGUAGGGAGGAACAGAAGUCUACGAAUAAAUGGAUGUCUUGACGGUACCAAAUGAAUAAGCACCGGCUAACUUCGUG
rnacentral:rRNA from 1 species